AAUCUCAUCUUAUGAUUUUGUUCUUUCAAGGUGAGAUAUGUUCAUAAUGAUAGUUCCAUAAUGAUAGUUCCAUAAUGAUAAUCGGAGGUUUACCGACCUUAUGUCACUCCGAUAGAUUUAUAGCUUUUAUUUGGGCUCUCAUGCAUGCUUUAUAUAUAUGUAUGUAUUUUGUCACACCGCGCUGCACUAUAGUCGGUCGGGCAAACACGUAGAUGUGAACACCACUGGAGUGCGCAAUUUAUGAUAUUACCCUGGACGUGGGAUGAUGAUGAUAUGAUGAUAACAUCAAGCCUUAAUGGCCGGGCAGGAUACUAUAUAUAUAACACCUUGCCUUAAUGGCGGGGCAGGAUAUUAUAUAUGUAACACCGAGCCUCAAUGGCCGAGAAGGAUCCUAUAUAUAUAACACAGAGCCUAAAUGGCCGAGCAGAAUACUAUAUAUAUGUAUGUAUGAAAAAGGUUUUUUAAAAGUUAAGCAUGCAUGGCAUUCGCCUUAAAAAGGCAUUUAGAGGCAUAGGUUAAUCUCUUUUAUAUUAUGUUAUCUUCAUACUUUUAUUAUGUUGUUACUCAUGCCUUACAUACUCAGUACAUUAUUCGUACUGACGUCCUUUUUAUUGCGGAUGCUGCGUUCAUGCCCGCAGGUAGACAGAGAGACGGACCAGACCCCUAGAUUGCUUCAUCAGCGGUAUUACAGGAGCGCUCCAUUUGUUCUGGAGCUACAGUUCAGUUGAUGAAGGGGGCUUAGGAGUAAGAUCACUACAAGAAAUUGCACGAACCUUCUCAGCAAAACUCUGGUGGACCUUCAGGACAUCAGAUUUUCUAUGGACAAGAUUCAUGAGAGCCAAGUACUCCAUAAGAAUUCAUACAAUGACAAGGAAAUGAAGCUACACUCAUUCUCAUACUCGGAGAAGGCUCAUGAAAUCAGAGACAAAGUGGAUCACCUGAUUCACUGAAAAAUCAGCAGGGGUAAUUCUAACAUAUCGUGGGACAACUGGAUGAGUUCUGGCGAAUUGGCUCAACCUAUAGGCACCAACACAUUAAUCAACAGUCCCAUCCACAUUUACAUUCAAAAUAAAGAAUGGAAUAUUGACAAGCUGAGGAAGAUCCUUUCUAUGAGUGUAGUGAACAGGAUUCAAGAAGUGAAAAUCCAUUGCCAGGACACCAAUAACUCUCCUAUUUAGAGUGCCACCACUGAUAGCAACUUCAGCUGCAAAUCAGCUUGGAAAGUUAUCAGAGAGUAUCACCAUACUUCUCUUACCAACAAGAAAGAAUGGCAUUCAGGAAACAUAAGAACACUUGUUCAACAACAAGAUGAUUGGCAAGGAUGUAUGGAAGCACUUUACGCAGAUAUUUGGCAUCAAAGAAGGAACUGAAAAUAUCAGACAAAUACUUCUUUCAUGGUGGCUAACAAAGGAGAAAAAUCACAUUCAAAGCAUGAUACUACAAGUGAUACCGUGUAUUCUCAUCUAGCAGAUAUGAAAAGAAAGAUGCAAAAGCAGAUAUGAAACAUGUCAAGAUAUAGAGUCAUCAACAACACUUACAAGAAGACAAUCAUGAUUACACAUAAGCAAUUCAAGACCAUUCCACCUUUUAUGGAAUGGAGCAAGUUUCUGGAGAUCAGUGAACAUGCACAACCCUUGAUCAGCACUGUUGAUGUAAGGUGGAUUUUUCCUGCACCUGGCACAUGGAAAAUGAACUCUGAUAGUUGCUCCAAAUAAAAUCCAGGUCCAAGUGGGGCUGGUGGUUUAAUUAGAGACCAAAGAGAUGAUUUAAUCACAACUUAUGCUUUUUAUUUGGGAAACAUUACGAACAAUAUGGCACAAGCCUUAUCACUGAAAAUGGGAAUUGAGUGGUGUAUGACUAAUGAUGUAAACAGCUUGGAGAUUGAAAGUGA